AAAUUUAUUAAAAUUUUAUUGACAUAAUAUUAAUGAAUGUGUUAUAUUAAUAAGGUAGCCAAAUUACUUAUUAUUAGCGCGGGAUGGAGCAGUUCGG
rnacentral:ncRNA from 1 species